rnacentral:rRNA from 1 species
CCUACGGGAGGCAGCAGUGAGGAAUAUUGGUCAAUGGACGAGAGUCUGAACCAGCCAAGUAGCGUGAAGGAUGACUGCCCUAUGGGUUGUAAACUUCUUUUAUAUGGGAAUAAAAUGUUCCACGUGUGGGAUUUUGUAUGUACCAUAUGAAUAAGGAUCGGCUAACUCCGUGCCAGCAGCCGCGGUAAGACGGAGGAUCCGAGCGUUAUCCGGAUUUAUUGGGUUUAAAGGGAGCGUAGGUGGAUUGUUAAGUCAGUUGUGAAAGUUUGCGGCUCAACCGUAAAAUUGCAGUUGAUACUGGCAGUCUUGAGUACAGUAGAGGUGGGCGGAAUUCGUGGUGUAGCGGUGAAAUGCUUAGAUAUCACGAAGAACUCCGAUUGCGAAGGCAGUUCACUGGACUGCAACUGACACUGAGGCUCGAAAGUGUGGGUAUCAAACAGGAUUAGAUACCCGUGUAGUC